rnacentral:lncRNA from 1 species
GUCGAGCUCCGACGAACGUGAAUCCGGUCACUCCAGGUGCGAUCCUUCUGGUAUGAUGAUCAGCAGGUUGAGGCUAGUUCAUAGAGCUAAGGAUCGGAAGUUUUGGUGGCCGGAGCUAGGAGAAAACCGUCGUUGACUAAAAUCGAACUCAAAUCGAAACAAGCUUGCCGCCGCCGCUACAGGCCGCGCCGCCGUGCAAGGUUGCCACAGACGGCUUCGGAGGAGUGAGGCGAAGCUGAAGGACGUGGUUGCUUAGUUUACCGACGUUUCGGACGCG